rnacentral:lncRNA from 1 species
GACACACUGCGAAAUAUCUUGUGUCAGACACGCAACGACACAUCGUGUGUCAGACACACGCGGGGACAACUCUAGUGUCAGACACUCAACGACAGCUCUUGGGAAGUUUUUGCUCGCUGCUCUGUUUUGACCUAGGACAGGUUAGAAGUUCACGUUUAAUUUUCACGACAUUGUUCUCCUCCCUGCACGCCCCUCAUCCACCCUGCCGCUACUCCCAUACGUGCGCGUGCAUGCGUGCGUGCACGCCAUCGCGCUGCAAAGCCCUUGCGCAUGAAAAUGCACGCAGCCCUCCCCUCCCUCCCUCCCUGCCCUCCCCACCCACCCCCCGCUCCUCCACGCCCCUCCCGAAGCUUGGCUACACACAGGACACCGCCAUGCGUCUGCACGGAGCUACAUGAACCGCAUGGCGACACGGUUAUAAAUAGAUCUUUUAGCUCUACAAAACAAGCGGGUCCUGUUGAUCGCCUCGCUCUUCUGCUUCUUCAACCUCUCCCCCUCCUCCCUUCGACCCCCCCGAACCCCAUCCUUCGUGCACUCUAACCAGCCAUCCACUUUUAGAGAGGUGGGUGGCUCACUGUGGCUAAUCAUCACGAUGUAAUUUCUCCACAACAAACGGUGGCCAUGUUGAUGGUGGAAGAUGUCAGACAAGGUAUAUGAGAGAUUAUUGCGAUCUGUAUUUCACCAGGAGUGAGGGAAGGAGAGAGAGAACGCCAUGGCAGUGGCUUCCAACGUUCGCUGAACUCUCGUGUCUCGUGCUAAAUCUGACGGGCCGCGAGCAGAGUGGCGCGUUGGCGUCAGGCGCGAGGUUUGGGUCACUGUGAUCUAGCUUUGACCGUAGACGUUGGGUCACGGAUGAAAUAAGAGGCAAGACAAACUACGUUCCGCGGACAGAGAGGACUACAUCUGACGUAACAGCGACGACGGAAGCCGAUGUGGGAACCUUCUGGGAAGCUCCGACUCCUUUACAACGAGUGGUUUCUUGUGUCAACACCCGGAAUAAGUCAGAUGAGAUGAAAAGAAGAAAAAGAAGGAGAGAAAAAAAAAAUUCGCUUCCCAGAUGAACAAGCGUGUGUGUGAGCAUUAAUUUUCAUACAGCUCUCUCUACAGCACGUGUUCUCUGCGUGCACGCGCGCGCGUGUGCGUGUUGUGUGUGUUGCAGCAUCAACAUCCUCCGAGCUUUAAUAAAAUGUGUUUGCAGGAAGGAGAUGCGAUCAUUCAGUUGCUGGCUUGUCGCCACUGGAGAGCCGACAGACUUACAAAGUUGUUCAUGUGGUGGUGAAGGACGUGACGAGGAAGGGGGAGGAGUUCGGGGGGCUCGGGGGUUCGGGGGAGUGUGUGAUGGUAUGGUGUUGUCAAGCCGAGGGCGUUGACGCAGUGCAUGGCAACAACACGCAGUGUUUCAGAGAAAAAUGUGCAAGCCAGCAAAGCUCGUGUCGGGUGUGCAGGUGACGACUGACAUGGAUCAACCUUCCUGAUUGGGGUGCGGCAACCUCGAUCCCUUCGCUGGGUUUAUCAUGAAUGUCGUCGAUUCACUGUGUGGGGAAAAGUGACAGAAAAGUGUGAAAAAAAAAUUAAUUCGUGAGAAUCACCAGCUCUUGGAAUAAAGCGGAGGAGGUGAAGGAAGCAACUAUUCUCUUUCUGCGUGUGUUUACUUUCCUCCCACCCGAGAUCAACAGGCAUCCUACUACACAUUUCUCUCCCCCACCACCACCAUCAUCACCAUCACCACCACCAAACUCCCCUCAACCACCAGCAUGAUCAAGAAACACUCCCAUCUCGGACGACAACAACAACAACGAUGUGACAACGAGAUCCAGCGACGUCACCAGCUGUUGCUGUGACAGUAGCACCGAGCGACCCUGCGAUGAGGACAGUGAGAUGCCAAGGUGUUGGUCUCCUGUCAUGACAGUUAGUCGUGUUUACAGAAUUUUUUUUAUUAUAUCUAAUUCUCCAGAUAAGCACUCGGACCCACCCAAAUUUGUAAAUAAAUAAAAGUAAAACCGACCGACAGCUGAGGUUUGCUUCAAGAAGACUUGAGGGAGGAUGCCCUCCUCUUAUCGCCCUCGCGAUGGAGAGUGCCAACAGUGACCAAUUAGAGACAUGACAGCUGGAGGAUCGUGGCAGUCAACCUUCUUCAGGAUGCAACCGUUGCGCAGGAAUUCUAACGGUGCUUGGGUUUAAAAAAAAUCUUUGAAUUCUCUGUGAUCUUUUAAUUUUCUUGCACAAGGAUUUUUUUUUUUGAGAAGGAGGAAUUUAUGAGGAAGGUGGCUAGAGAUGAUUCUAACUUUCAUGUGAGAGGGACUGAGAAAAUUGACUUGAAGAAGGAUGGAUAAAGAAGGAAAAUUCCUGGAGGAAAAGGAGCGGAGGAUGUUGGUGAGAGGUGGGGAGGUGGAGUCGACACGACCGAUGUGAAUGGGCGAGUGGAGUGGGUCUUGACUCCGCAGGCUGUGAGGGUGGGUAUGUUGACAGGUGAGAUUACUGACCUGGACACCCGCCGCCACGAGGUUAGUCCACAUCGCAACUGCAGUCAGGCAGGUCACCGCGGGGUCAGGCAAGGACAGUCUCCCCCCUCAACACACUCCUGCUCUCCUAACCUUUUUUCUUUCCUGGCGGCUGUGGAAGGAGUGAGUUCGCUGGUUAGGAGGGUAUGACCCAACUCUCUCUCUCUUCCCCUCCCUCUCUCUCUCUCCGCACUGUCGCCGCUAGGGGAAGUAACAAGGAUCUGGAUAAAAUCCUGUAAUCCAUCCCUUUCUCUACAAUAUUUUGGUGUAGGGUAAAAUUUAUAUUUUUAAAAAUUAAAAUAAUGGCAAAUGCACUAUUUCAUUAAAGAUUUAACCAACAUCAUUUCUGCGAAAUAUUAAUUUAAUAAAGAUUAUAUAUUAGAAACUUACAGUUUAAAUGAAGUUUCAAAAUUUGUUAUAGGUUACAACAAGUUUUUAAAUCUUUUAUUCUCUGCCCUGUAAUAAUAACAACAAUAAGGAAGGAAAAGGGAAAGGGACAGCAAUAACUUUUGUGAGAAAGGUAAAUAUGAAUCGUUUGAAGAAUAAAUAAAUAAAAAUCCCGAGGAGCAGAAGGACGAAUGACGCAAGCAGUUUUACUUAUGGCAGCAAAAGUCUAAAAAUAUCGCAGUUGUAAAAGUUUGACGAGGAGGAGCCGAGACCACCUAGGGUAGUGGUGAGAGCGGGGGUGGUGUGUUGUGGUGGAGGUAGUGGUGGUGGUGGUGGGUACGUCAAGGCCACACGUCAUCUGGCACAACCCAGCAGGAGGCGCGCGCGUCUAUUCCUGUCUUUAUAACUACGCAUUUGACGAGGACAGAGGAACAGAAGGAAAAAAAAAAAAAAAGGAAAAACAAAAGUUAUGCAAGUUAUGAAUAUUCAUGGAGGCAGCAGUUAUAGAACAGCUGUAAAGCAGGGGCCAGAUCAGUGUGGGAAAAAUCAUGAUGAAAAAGCUGCUGGAGAGGACAGUUGAUGUGUAGGUGUGCUUUUUUUUUUCUUUUUUUAUACGGCCGUGCCGAACAGGUGAUGGAUGAACACCUGUGGAUUAAUACCUGGCCUCCAGAACUGUUUCACAUUCGUGUUACGGUCGCGCCUCGCGGGCACAAAAAGUGUAAUCAAGUGGAAAAGAGUGGAUAAUUGUUUCUCGAUUGCUGGUGAUCACUCAGUGACUCACAGGAUUACCUCACAGACUGACUGCACCUACCCAGGGUAACUCCACCAACUGACAGAAUUACACUCACCCAUUGCUGGAUGCCAUCGACUGAAGAGGAGUCCUGUUUGUCCACAGUGAGGUGCCCUCCUCUCCUACCUGUAUCUUGUCCACGCCAUGAAAGUCCUGUCCAGGUGUGUCGAGGGCGAGUCGAAGAGGGUCAGAAGAACUAAGGGAUGAAACAACAGAAAACUUUAUAUCAAGACCAGUCUCCCUCAGCCAAACCUGUAUUCGACAACAGGGAGAUAACGAUUGUCGAAAUCCGUCUGCUAGCAGUUCCACCGAUGUGGUGUUGAUGCAAUUCUGAAGGACAAGAGAAAACUCAAAGGCUUUGACAGGGAACAAAGAUACGAAGUCUCGUCAUUGUGAGUCCAAUGUCUCAUGUAAUGAGAUAUCUCCGCCAUUGUUUUCCGUACCAUCUGUCACUCAGAGACCAAAGAUAGACCGAGUGGAGAUAUAUAUUAAAGACUUCUGAACCAUAUAUAACCUUGAAGUCAUCGUCAGUGAGGACAUCAACGGUCUCAGCUUCAGGAUGAGGAAAGCCAGUAAAAAGAAUAAACCUGUAUCAAGUUUCGCCAUCAUGGGACUUUGAAUUUCAAAGGAAUCACGAGGAGCGCUGCAACUUGAGGUGAGGAGACAAUCAAAGUAAAAUUCUAGAACUAAUAGGGAUCUCACAGAAUCAGAUGUCUGUUCUACCAUUUGACAUGUGAUUUCGAUUGGAAAUUUAAUCAUGUCUCCGAAAACAAAAUGGGAAAGAAACCAUUCAUACUUUCUUUCUAAAAACAAAUGGCAACAGUAACUCUUUUAUUUGUAAUAUUGGGUGGUGGACGAACCAUCAUUUUCUCAACUGUCAGUAAUUAUCAUACAAAUAGGUUCAACUGUGUUAAGAAAACGAGAUGUACCUUACAUAGAGAUAAAUCUUACACUAUUUAUGCUGGACCUUUCUUUAUUUUGUGCGCAUGCGUGUGUGUGUGUGUGGGAAGAAAAAUAGUGUCAAGAUGAAAAGUAUACUCACAUCUAUACGCCAAGAUGGCGGCUAGUAUGGAAGGAUGGCGCCUGCUGGAGAUGAGUGCCAAGGCAAAGAUAUGGCCAUAAAGAAAUAGUUCUGUGAGCAACCUUCUAGGGUCCUAAAUUAUGUCGCGCAGCGACUCCACACCCCCCACGUGUUAAUCACGUGCUCCACUGGCUCAGCAGCGAUUGGUGGAUUCGCGAUUUAGAAGACGAAAACGGUUGGGAGGACGUGGCAACGGGAAGAGAGCGUGUCUUUUGUGGUGCCACGGGUAAUGACCAAUAGAAUGACAGCCAGAUCCCAAAAUUGCCAACUGUUAAAACUCUUCCAUUUGCGUUGUCUGCCCUCCAUCAGGGCCGUAGGAUUUCGUUACAUCAAUUUUUUUUCGAGAAAUAAAGCAGCUUAAAGAAUUAAAGUCGCGGUUUAUAGCAGGGAUUGGCAAAAUUUUCUGUUUGCGAGCCAGUCUCAAUAAUAUAUGAACACAUAAAGGCCGAAUAAGAAAAAAUGAAAGCAGGUGAACUUCACAUUUUGUCAGAGGAGUCGGUCCAAAGACAUGUCUGGGUUUUAGUUUGCCCACCCCUGUCUUAGAACCACAGUUGUCUGUAUUCAUACCAUAGACAUUUAAAUUAGCAGAAGCAACAAAAUCCAAAGUCCUUUUGGACUAGCUCAAGAAAAUUUCAAUGACAAGAAAAUAUUCAGGAAAUAAUACAAGCGCGAUUCUUUUGUUUUUGGAUACCUUGAUUUAAUAAUAAUAGCAAUGAAUAGUUUUAAACCCAGCAUGAUAAUUAUGUUGUUUGACAGAAUUAUACUGGAAACACUUCAGUAUGUGGUCGUGUCCUGGUGGUCAAUAUGAAGGCUUGAGCAAUCACAAAAUCUUCGUUGGGAAGGUGGCGAACGAGGUUUAUCUACAUGGGACCAUGGCCACCUAUCAACCUUUUCUAUGCUCGAUCCAUCGGCUGCUUUUGACACUUUGGACCAUCACAAUCUUCCCAGAGACUUCAUACGACCUUUGACCUCUACCGCACAGCUCUUGGUUGGUUGCACUUCUGUCUGUCUGCUGGCACCCAGUCUGUUGGUCUCCUCGCCUUGACAUCCAAACCUGCUUCAGUUCAACUCGGAGAGCCUCAUGAUUCAGUCCAGGACCUGUCUUGUUUACUACCCUUUGUCCAGCCACUUGGUCCUGUGAUUGGCCACUAUGGUUUGUAAUACCACGUGUAUGUCGACAAUACUCAGCUCCUGACUCUGACCCAGCUUGCCAACUCCACCGAAUGUCCACCAGCACUCAGCAAACUCUUCAUUCUGUCAAACACUGGAUGUGAUGAAAUCUCAGAACUAUGGUGUUCGCAUUGUAUUAUGCAAGCAAAAGGUUGAUCAUGUCACACCACCCUCGCACUGGGUGGCAUUUCAGGUUUGCAUUCAGUUCAAGAUCCCAUAAUUUGUUAUCAUCUAGUUCACAGCCUCGUCUCAACCUGUCUCACCUUGCAAUCAGUUUUACCUGUUGCUUUGUCUACCUUCUCCUAGUCUGCGUUCCUUCUUGUUCUAAAGUACACAGCAAUGUCGACGAUCAUAUUUUAUUUUUUUAAUUAUGUGAGCCAACAAGGUCGAUGAACGCUACGCGUGUCGACGUCAAACCGGAAGUGGGUUAUCCUCGGACUGGGGGGGAAGGUCACAUGCAUGAAUAAUUCUCCCAAAUCGUCCAUAUAGGCCGCGGGCACCCGACAAGAAGCAAACCUGUCUGUCCCGACAUGUACUCGUAUGUGUCCUGUCUAUCCUUACUCGUCCCUCAAAAUGUGUUGUUAAUAUUUAUCCACUUAAUAUAAAUUUAUGUUGUUGUGACAAUAGCUGCUAAACUCACUGAAAUCUUCGAUUACCAAGGGUGGUCGGGUUAAAUGACUUUGUGGGCUGUAUACACCUGCGAGCCAGACAUUCCCCACCCGUGAUAUAAAGGAUGGAGUGGUAGAUGUGACAGUGGUGAAUAAAACCUACCUGUGAAGUAAACAGACCUGAUGUCAAGCUUUGUGAGUGAAAAAGAUAUUGAAUCACUAUGUCUCCCUGUAAAUAGUCUUAGAGCCAAGCUUAGAGGUGUGUGAUGUCUCAGGGUGAUUAUUAAUAAUAAAUAAUAAACAUCA